rnacentral:rRNA from 1 species
ACGGGAGGCAGCAGUGGGGAAUAUUGGACAAUGGGGGAAACCCUGAUCCAGCGACGCCGCGUGAGUGAAGAAGUAUUUCGGUAUGUAAAGCUCUAUCAGCAGGGAAGAUAAUGACGGUACCUGACUAAGAAGCCCCGGCUAACUACGUGCCAGCAGCCGCGGUAAUACGUAGGGGGCAAGCGUUAUCCGGAUUUACUGGGUGUAAAGGGAGCGUAGACGGAAUAGCAAGUUUGAAGUGAAAGCCCUGGGCUUAACCCGGGAACUGCUUUGAAAACUGUUAAUCUAGAGUACUGGAGGGGUAUGGGGAAUUCCUAGUGUAGUAGUGAAAUGCGUAGAUAUUAGGAAGAACACCGGAGGCGAAGGCGCCAUACUGGACAGAUACUGACGUUGAGGCUCGAAAGCGUGGGGAGCAAACAGGAUUAGAUACCCUGGUA